rnacentral:snRNA from 1 species
AAACUUACCUGGCAGGGGAGAUACCUUGAUCAUGAAGGUGGUUUUCCCAGGGUGAGGCUUAUCCAUUGCAUACUGGAUGUGCUGACCUCCUGGCAAUUUCCACAAAUGUGGGAAAUUUGACUGCAUAAUUUGUGGUAGUAGAGGAACUGCAUUUGUGCUUCCUGCUG